AGUCGUAACAAGGUUUCCGUAGGUGAACCUGCGGAAGGAUCAUUAAAAAAUUGGACUCCAUUGGUGAGUUCAUUAAUAAUCCCUACCCUUUGUGAAUUUGUUUGUUUGAAUAAUUUUUUUUCCAAAAAAAUUAUUGAAUGUCUUUCCCUGUUUUGGUGGAGCUUGUAAAGUGAAACCAGGCAGGGGAAUGGCAAACAAUAAUUAUUUUUGAAAAAAGACCUUUUUUUAAAUUAAACUUUUUGUAUUCAUUUGUCUAAAAUUAUUUUUAUAAUAUAAAAACAACUUUUGACAAUGGAUCUCUUGGUUCUCGCAACGAUGAAGAACGCAGCAAAAUGCGAUAAGUAGUGUGAAUUGCAGAAUACGUGAAUCAUCGAAUCUUCGAACGCAUAUUGCACUUUUUUAGUUUACUAAAAAAGUAUGUCUGUUUGAGUAUCAGUAAAAUAUUCUCAUAAAAAACAUUGUUUUUUUAUGGUUAUGAGUGUUUUACAACGAUAACAAGUUGUUUCACUUUAAAUUCUUUGUUAUCAAAAAAAUCAUUAAAAGCUAAUUUUAAAGAUUUUUUAAAAUUGGAUAAAAUUUUCCCGUAAAAAGGAAUAACCUAAACAAUUUUAAAAAAUUAAAAUUGGUUUGAUUUUUUUUGAAACCCAAAGGAAAAAAAACGAAAUUAACUUGAUCUCAAAUCAGAUAAGAGUACCCGCUGAACUUAAGCAUAUCAAUAAGCGGAGGAAAAGAAACUAACUAGGAUUCCCUCAGUAACGGCGAGUGAAGCGGGAAGAGCUCAAAUUUGAAAUCUUCAAGGUUUUACCUUGACGAAUUGUAGUUUAAAGAAGUGUUUUCUGUUGGAGUUUUGGUAAAAGUUCUUUGGAAAAGGACAUCAUAGAGGGUGAGAAUCCCGUAUUUGACCAUUAUCUCCAGCUUUGUGAUACACUUUCAAAGAGUCGGAUUGUUUGGGAAUGCAGUCCAAAAUGGGUGGUAAAUUUCAUCUAAAGCUAAAUACUGGCGAGAGACCGAUAGCGAACAAGUACCGUGAGGGAAAGAUGAAAAGAACUUUGAAAAGAGAGUUAAACAGUACGUGAAAUUGUCAAAAGGGAAGCGUUUGACACCAGUGUUGUUUUCUCGAAAAUCAAUUAAAAAAGGCCGGAUUUUGUGUUGUAUUGACUUUAUCAGCUUUCUGCACUUUUUUCUUGUCUUUUUUAAUGCACUUUUCGUUUAACAAGUCAACAUCAAUUUCUUUUGUUGUAAAAGGGUCAUUGGAAGGUGGCUUUCUUUUCGGAGAAAGUGUUUAUAGCCUUUGGCCUCUGCAAUCGGAGAGAUUGAGGUCUGCAGCGUAGAUCCUUCGGGGUUAGAUACAUUUGUGCUAAGUUAUAGCCUUUCAUAGACAACUUGUUGACUAUGAUCAGUCAUGUAGCUUACUCGCUUAUGCUAUUUUACCUACGCUUAGGAUGUUGAA
rnacentral:misc_RNA from 1 species